CUGGGAGGGGAAUGCCAAGUUCGAGCAGGGCAAUUCCUAGGCCAAUGCAGCUCUUUCUUUUAUGCCAAUGCUGCCUUACACACCAGCCCCUGGAAUGUCCAUAAGGCAGAGCUCCAUAGCCAGCACCUGACCAUGGAACAACACAGGGAGAAACGAGCAAGACAAGUCCUGAGGGCUCCCUUGGUCCAAGGCCAAAGUUCUGGAGAGUGUCAGGGCUGGUCCCACCUGCAGAGGGGCGUUUCCUGCAGGGAGGAGCUGUGCCUCAGUGUCCUGCCCGUGGCAGGCAGCUGCCAAACACAGCCCGGGGCGGGCACUGGGAUGCCCGGGCAGCGCUGGGAUGGACACGGAUCGAGGGCUGCCCGCGGCUCCUCGGCCAGGGGCUGCUCUGAACAGGCCCCCCGAGAUGCUGCAGCCCGGGCAGAGCCCACUGCCAUCCCAAAACCACCCCAAGGAACAGCUGCCACGGCCUGGGAGUGCCGGCACGCUGGGGUUGCAGAGGAGCUCGGACAGCAAUUCCCGGUGCUCACCUCCUGGAGCUCCCACACACCCACCAGCAAUUCAAUCCCAAGCAAUGCCCUCGGAGAUGCCUUAAAACAGAAGGUCAGAGUUAGAUGAAUGUUUGGAUGAAGUCUGGAGUUUUUCAGGGACCCAGCUGGAGCUGCAGAACUGCUGGGAAGCUUGCACAGUGAGAAGAACAUGAACUCACCACCAUUAAGGCCUGGCAGUUCCCUGCAGCGAGAGCUCAGUGCACAUCCAGGGAGGCAAUUCCAGCAUCUGAAAGAAAGGAAGGAAGAAAAAGGUGAUUUCUUCUCUUUCAAAGUUAUUUCCAGUGCUCAGACCCAAACCAACCUUUGCCCUUGAUUUUGGCUGGGUGACUCCUGAGCAGUGGGCACAGGUCCUGUCAUUCAUGCUGAUGGAGUGAUGCUUUCUGGGGAAAUCAGCUGAUUUCCAAAGUUCACUGCCUGCCCCAUGCCUGAUCUGCACAGGACAAACCCUCUUGCAUGAAGGGAUUUUGCUCCAUCUAAUCCCAUCUGCCCAGGCUGUUCCACGAGGAUGUUGCCAGGCUGGGGCAGCACAGGCAGAUGCAGCUCUCAGCUCUCUCUGCUCCAAACACAGCUCUGGGCUCUUUGCAAACUCCUCUGCCAUGAGGUUUUCUCCAGGAGAACUCAAGGAAUGGCUCACAGCAGGGGGAGAUUCAGUUAUCACACAGGGAAGUAAAGGAUAAAUAUUCCUGUAAGAGCCUUUGGGAUCUGCUGGGCUGAAAGGGGAAGGGGACAUUCAUUCCCUGCAGGGCCAAGGCACAGCAACCUCCAGCACAAAGCACAGGCUGUCAGGUGGGGUCUGAAAGCACCACUUGGACAAACCUCACUGUUAUUCUUCCUUCCAGGCACUUCUGCAAUCCAGCCCUGAAGCUGAGAAGCCCAAAAGCUCGGGAGUCUGCUCUGGAACAAAAGGAUACUCCCAGGGGUGAGGCACACUCCCAGCAAACACUCCCAACACACACAGAGGCACCUCUGGAGCUGUGUGGGGGCUGGGAAGGGCUGCCAGGAGGACACAGCCCCCAGCUGGGGUGGCAGUGGCAGCAGCAAAUUGCCACGGUCUGAUGGCACAACAGAGGGACAAAGGCCAGCAGUGCCCACGGGAGCUGCAGGUUUAAUUCUGCUCCCUGUGCUGCCACAUCCCAGCAGGAAAUCCCCAGGGGGAACAGAAACUCUCAGGGUGCACAAAAUGCAGCAUCUGUGACCCUGAUCCUGCCUGAGCUCAGCGUGUGGGGCCAACCCCCUAAGGUAAGCACUGCCCUGCCCUAGGUCAGUCCCACACUCUGCCCCAGCUCCCAGCUGCUCCCGGGGCUGCCACCACGUUCCUGGCAAGGUGACAAAGGCCCCUUUGGACAGGGCUCUCUCUGGGUCUCAGGCAUUGGGGACUGCAGGGACCAGGGCAAGGACAGCCUGAAACCAGGGCAGAUCCCUCUGGGGACAGCUGGGGACUCACCCCACACCACGGGCAGGACCAGGGGCCCUCCAGUGCAGGCAGGAGCCCGUUGGGUUUGGCUGCUCAAACACCAAAGCUUUGGGCAAAGAUGGGAUGAGUUAAGUGGUUUUUCCUGUCCUGAAGGAGAGGAGAAAAUGGAAAUUAAGUCAGAGGCUGGAAGUCAAAGGCUCCUGGCUUUCCUACUUCUGUUCUGAUGAGGGUUCUAUCCAUAAAAAAUGAAAGGUGACACCAAAUAAAAGUGCCCUUUGUCAACA